UACGUAGGGUGCAAGCGUUUAAUCGGAAUUACUGGGCGUAAAGCGUGCGCAGGCGGUUUUGUAAGUUUGUCGUGAAAUCCCCGGGCUCAACCUGGGAAUGGCGAUGAAGACUGCAAGGCUAGAAUCUGGCAGAGGGGGGUAGAAUUCCACGUGUAGCAGUGAAAUGCGUAGAGAUGUGGAGGAACACCGAUGGCGAAGGCAGCCCCCUGGGUCAAGAUUGACGCUCA
rnacentral:rRNA from 1 species